UGGGGAAUUUUGGACAAUGGGCGAAAGCCUGAUCCAGCAAUGCCGCGUGUGUGAAGAAGGCCUUCGGGUUGUAAAGCACUUUUGUCCGGAAAGAAAUCCUUGGCUCUAAUACAGUCGGGGGAUGACGGUACCGGAAGAAUAAGCACCGGCUAACUACGUGCCAGCAGCCGCGGUAAUACGUAGGGUGCAAGCGUUAAUCGGAAUUACUGGGCGUAAAGCGUGCGCAGGCGGUUUGCUAAGACCGAUGUGAAAUCCCCGGGCUCAACCUGGGAACUGCAUUGGUGACUGGCAGGCUAGAGUAUGGCAGAGGGGGGUAGAAUUCCACGUGUAGCAGUGAAAUGCGUAGAGAUGUGGAGGAAUACCGAUGGCGAAGGCAGCCCCCUGGGCCAAUACUGACGCUCAUGCACGAAAGCGUGGGGAGCAAACAGGAUUAGAUACCCUGGUAGUCCACGCCCUAAACGAUGUCAACUAGUUGUUGGGGAUUCAUUUCCUUAGCUAACGUAGCUAACGCGUGAAGUUGACCGCCUGGGGAGUACGGUCGCAAGAUUAAAACUCAAAGGAAUUGAC
rnacentral:rRNA from 1 species